CAACACUGGAGCAGGCAAGGGAGAGGCGCACCUCGGCCAAGGGUCUGGGAAGCCCUUGGAAGCACACCCAACUUUGCUGUCCUUGUGGGAGCCUGUUCCAAAUGCAACUUGGACGCAAGGAGUAGUAUCCUUUAGUCUCUGAACUUGGCACCGUUGAUGUUUUGGAAGGCUGUGCGGUACCGACAUGAGUGUGCCCUACCUCUGCCUCUGAAAUGCCUUUGGAAACACUGGGACUCAGGUGAUGGGAGACACUGGCGUAGGUUCCGGCACACAAUUAAGAGCACGUUUGUUCCUAAGCGUUUUCAGUUUAGAUGUAAUGGUUACAGCAUGUGACCCGAGGCGGAGGUUUACAAGUUUAAGGCUUGACUGGGCUACACAGUGUGUUCAGAAUCAGCCUGGGCAACUGAGCCAGAAAUUAGCUGAAAAUCAAAAAGACUGGGGCUCUAGCUCAGGGCAGAACAAAGCCCUGGCUUCAUUGUCUUGAAAUGUAAUAAUUUCCCCCUAUGUAUUUGAUGUUUGUUCUUUUUCUUAUUAAUUUUUAAUAAAUUUUUAAUUUUU